rnacentral:rRNA from 1 species
AUGACUAUCAAUCGGAGCAUGAGUUAUAUGCCUCAACCAGACACAUCCACCCAUGAUUAUAUUCAGAGAAACCAUCGACCCCUCGUAUAUAUGGAGUGGAACGGCCGGUGGAGAGUGGACUGUGACUCUCUGAGCACGAGUUAUAUACCGUGGCCUCCACCUGUCCCAAACGGUGCCUCUCAUGUUUGGAUGUUUGGAUUCAAGAUUGGUAAUGAUAAGAGACAUCCAUCCAUGAUUACAUUUCUAUCUGCACUUGCUUGCAACAAGGGCUUCAAUCCCUAUGUAAUACUCCACAACUCUAUUUUCUUGUUGUUCAUGUUGUUGCUACUCAUCUAG